AGCCAACCUUGGAGCCAGUUGGCAGAGAGCCUGGGAAAUGUUUCCAGGGAUCAGUCCUGGAAGACAGAGCAGAGCAGGGGAAGGGAAGAGAAAGGACCUCCAAGCAAGCGGGGAUAUAACCAGAUAACCAGUACAGUGAAUUUCACCAAGGAAUCAUGUUUUUCAACUUCUUGCAAAUUGAAUCUUGAUAAAUAGAAGUCAAUCCACGUUGUCAUGGAGGAGGAGCAUGCGAUCUGGAGCUGAGGACCAGCUGCCUCCUACUAGCAGACUGCCUGUUGGCCGUGGUGAAGACCACCAUGUUUCUUCCAGGCAAGAUAAUGUGGAGGCCCGAGAAGACAGAAAUCAUGAGACAGAAGGAACCAGGGUCCCUGGCUGCCUGCUGGCCAGGAAUACCCAUUUGAACUGUGCGAGAGCGAGAAGUAAGCCGUUACUUAUUUUUUUUACUUUA